rnacentral:misc_RNA from 1 species
AGAGAGAGAGAGAGAGAGAAAACUCUCUUGCUCAUGUUAGAUGGCUUGUUAUUGCGGGCAUUUUAUGUGUGAAUGAAUUCGUGUUUGAAUUUCUGUAGCAAAAUCUUUUUAUGGGUUUACACUACUGAAUGAAGAAUGUCAGUGGUGGCUUUGUUGGUUUUGUGUUGUUUGAACUGUGUGAUAUCUCAUAUUUAGGGUUGUUAUGCCGAGGAGGAUCAUGUGAAUGUUCCUCUCCCUUGAGACUUGU